rnacentral:piRNA from 1 species
UGCUUUUGAAAAGUUUUUAAU